rnacentral:rRNA from 1 species
UACAGAGGGGGCAAGCGUUGUUCGGAAUUACUGGGCGUAAAGGGCGCGUAGGCGGCCUGUUAAGUCGAACGUGAAAUCCCCGGGCUCAACCCGGGAACUGCGUCCGAUACUGGCAGGCUUGAAUCCGGGAGAGGGAUGUGGAAUUCCAGGUGUAGCGGUGAAAUGCGUAGAUAUCUGGAGGAACACCGGUGGCGAAGGCGGCAUCCUGGACCGGUAUUGACGCUGAGGCGCGAAAGCUGGGGGAGCGAACGGG